rnacentral:rRNA from 1 species
GCUAAGAAUAUUCCGCAAUGGACGAAAGUCUGACGGAGCGACGCCGCGUGGAUGAAGAAGGCCGGAAGGUUGUAAAAUCCUUUUGCUGAUGAAGAAUAAGUGUGGUAGGGAAUGACCGCAUGAUGACAUUAGUCGGUGAAUAAGCCCCGGCUAACUACGUGCCAGCAGCCGCGGUAACACGUAGGGGGCAAGCGUUGUUCGGAAUUAUUGGGCGUAAAGGGCAUGUAGGCGGUUUCGUAAGCCUGGUGUGAAAUCCUGCAGCUUAACUGCAGAAUUGCAUUGGGUACUGCGAGACUUGAAUCACAGAGGGGAAACUAGAAUUCCAGGUGUAGGGGUGGAAUCUGUAGAUAUCUGGAAGAAUACCGGUGGCGAAGGCGGGUUUCUAGCUGAUGAUUGACGCUGAGGUGCGAAAGUGCGGGGAGCAAACAGGAUUAGAAACCCUAGUAGUCC